rnacentral:rRNA from 1 species
AAUAGAUACCCCGGUAGUCCACGCCGUAAACGAUGAGUGCUAAGUGUUAGAGGGUUUCCGCCCUUUAGUGCUGCAGCUAACGCAUUAAGCACUCCGCCUGGGGAGUACGGUCGCAAGACUGAAACUCAAAGGAAUUGACGGGGGCCCGCACAAGCGGUGGAGCAUGUGGUUUAAUUCGAAGCAACGCGAAGAACCUUACCAGGUCUUGACAUCCUCUGACAACUCUAAAGAUAGAGCGUUCCCCUUCGGGGGACAGAGUGACAGGUGGUGCACGGUUGUCGUCAGCUCGUGUCGUGAGAUGUUGGGUUAAGUCCCGCAACGAGCGCAACCCUUGAUCUUAGUUGCCAGCAUUUAGUUGGGCACUCUAAGGUGACUGCCGGUGACAAACCGGAGGAAGGUGGGGAUGACGUCAAAUCAUCAUGCCCCUUAUGACCUGGGCUACACACGUGCUACAAUGGAUGGUACAAAGGGCUGCAAGACCGCGAGGUCAAGCCAAUCCCAUAAAACCAUUCUCAGUUCGGAUUGUAGGCUGCAACC